CUCCUGGAGAAGAAAGUAAGUGUGGCCCAGUGGCUCGUGUCACUUCUCUAAGUUUUUUUCUUCCUUGUAGAAAAUUUAAGUUGAUAAUAACAAUAUUACAUUGCAAUGUGUUCUAAUAUCAAAGUAAAUUGUUUUCAGGUGAGUAAAAAGAAAAAAGGCACCCGUCCUCCUCACUACCUAGCAGUGACUUCAAUUUGUCAGUGAAUUGAAGAGACAGAGAUGAAGCGGACGCAGCACGUGAAGACAAUUCUUUCAAGAAGUUUGGCUGUAAAGGAAAAGAUAAAGUUGUUCCAGACUCAUCUUCAACAUUUCCUGCAGCAGACCUGGAAUCAGCCACUUCUCCAAGGAACACUGGUUCUUUUCAAUGGGAAAUGGUAUUUUAGAGGCCACAAUCUGCACAAAGAAACAAGGAAAAGCUAAACCUCUGGGUGUGAAACUAAACAUCACGAAGAGAUGUAUGCAAGGAGAAGACAGCAGAUACCAGAGGCUCAACGAUGUCGUGUGAAUAGAGGGCACAUGCCUUUAACCCUCACUUUGUUCUUACCAUCGUCAGAAUCCCAGGCAGGAAAGAGCACAUGGGCCAAGAUUGUGUAACCAGCCCUAUAGCACAGCUUCCCUUUAAAGGAAUCAAGCAACUCACCAAUGUGUUCCUCUUCUACCUCCUCAAAGCCCACUUGCCUGGCUGGCUGUCAAGGUUGGGCCUCCAAGCCAUCAACCCAUGGAGGGUGGAAAAAACCACCCUACUAACUCUAACAUUUCAUCCAACCACAUUUCCCCACUUAUACUACAUGUCUACUCUUUCCUUUGCUCAUUCUCUCUUACCCUUCACCCCUCCUUCCCGUGGACACUUCACUGAUCAUCCACGAGUACUUCAACAAGUCCUUCGUAGUCCUCUCCUUCCCCAGCCUGACAGAGGCUGCAUGGCAUAUUAGAAACAGCACGGGCUUUGGACUAUGAAAGGGUAGGUUUGACUCUUGGCUCUGUAUGAAUGAGCUUUAUGACCUCGAACACAUUAUCAUGAGACUUCUAGGCCUUAGUUUCCUCAUCUGUAAAUGGGGGAAAUAACAUCUACUUUGUAGAGUUGUAGGAUUAAUAAUGAUGGUGUCAGUGUCUGACACAGUAGCUCAGUAAAUAAUAACUAAUACAUAAAAACCCCAUGUAAGAAAGGCCACAAAGUAUCUUUAUUCCUUGUUUUCU